GACGAACGCUGGCGGCGUGCCUAAUACAUGCAAGUCGAGCGAGACUCUUCGGAGUCUAGCGGCGGACGGGUGAGUAACACGUGGGCAACCUGCCUGUAAGACUGGGAUAACACCGGGAAACCGGUGCUAGUACCGGAUAAUCCUUUUCCUCUCAUGAGGAAAAGCUGAAAGUCGGUUUCGGCUGACACUUACAGAUGGGCCCGCGGCGCAUUAGCUAGUUGGGAGGUAACGGCUCACCAAGGCGACGAUGCGUAGCCGACCUGAGAGGGUGAUCGGCCACACUGGGACUGAGACACGGCCCAGACUCCUACGGGAGGCAGCAGUAGGGAAUCUUCCACAAUGGACGAAAGUCUGAUGGAGCAACGCCGCGUGAGCGAUGAAGGCCUUCGGGUCGUAAAGCUCUGUUGUUAGGGAAGAACAAGUACCGGAGUAACUGCCGGUACCUUGACGGUACCUAACCAGAAAGCCACGGCUAACUACGUGCCAGCCGCCGCAGUAACAC
rnacentral:rRNA from 1 species